UAACCUUCUACAAAACACCCAUAUACACAUCACAGGAGGUAGGUCUACACAGUUAACCUUCUACAAAACACCAUAGACACAUCACAGGAGGUAGGUCUACACAGUUAACCUUCUACAAAACAC